GUUAAAAGUUAUUGGUCAGUCAUAAAGUGACCAUUGGUUUCACACCUAUUAAGCACUUAGCAGUAUAGGUGACUUGUCAGACUCAAAUGGCGGCAUAUACAGCCUAUAAAAUAGGUGCAACACUAAUGGUCACUCUAUGACCAGCCAUAACUUUUAACUUCCUAAAAAAGUAGAUUACUGCUUUAAUGCAUUAGAGUGUGCUUCUUUUUCGGAUAUGUGAACUACUGACAAUUCAUAUACAUGAGGGCGUACCUAAAAGUAACCGGAAACGUUCUCUGUGGGACUAGCCCAUUGUAGUUCAGGCUUCCGCCGCUAGAAGCCACUUGAUGAGACCAUCAAACAUAAGUUUGCUGACCGGUGGCAGCGGUUGAGGUUGCACUGUCACUUGUCGUGUCUUUGUGUUGCAGUGCUUCUCUCCUGUUUGUCGAUUUUUGUGAUAGCUGAAAUGAAGGAACAGUGUGCUUCCAUGAAAUUUCUGUUUUCUGCUGGGGAAAAUGGUAGCUGAAAAAGUUGUCAUGCUUCAAGCAGCUUACAGGGACACUGCCAUGAGAAAAACACAAGCUUUCGAGUGCUUUUCUUGCUUUAGGAAGAGUCACUUGUCGCUUGAAGGGUCAACAUCAGCCUCCUGAAUGAAUGAAAACAUCAUGGAAAUUCAUAAAUUGAUCUUGGAGAGCUGUCGCCGAACAAUUGACAAACUUGUUGAUAAGACUGGUGUGUCCUGGAGCUCCUGCCAAUGAAAUUUGAAUGAGGAAUUGCAAAUGAAAAGAGUUGCAGCAAAAUUUGGGCCUUGUUUGCUCAAGGAAGAUCAAAAGCACUCGUGACUGAAUGCGUGUCGUGAACUGAAAGAAAGUUGGAAGUUGAUCCAGACCUUUAUUCAAAGGUCAUCACUGGUGACGAAAGGUGAUGCUACAGCUACAACCUGGAAACGAAGCAGCAAUCAGGUCAAUGGAAGCAUUUAAUGUCACCACGCCCCAAAAAAGCGCGUGAAGUGAAGUCCAAUGUCAGAUGAUGCUGAUUUGUUUCAUUGAUCCGAAAGGAAUUGUCUACAUAAAAUUUGUUCCUCCUGAUCAAACUGUUAACCAGACAUUUUACAUUACAGUUCUGAAGCAUUUGCGAGAUACGGUGAGACGAAAAUGCCCCGACCUGUGACAAAGUAGAGAGUGGUGGUUUCGUCACAACAAUGCACCUGCACACAGUAUUCUAUAUGUGACUGUUUCAUCAUGCCAUUUACAAAAGAAGCCUUGGAACUGUCUGAAUUUCAAGGAGGGUGUAGCGGCAGGUAAACUGACAUCUGGCUGUUCAAAGAAAACUUCUAAAGUAACAAGUAGUGACUUCUCUUGAAAAUGAACAAAAUUUAGCAUCAUGGUGCUAUCAAUACCUGCAGAAUAAGGGCUUAGCCCCUAAGGAUAUUCAUGCUGAUAUGGUUGCUACAUUAGGGGAUGAUACUCCAGAUUUACCAACAGUGCAAAUGUGAGCAGCUGAAUUUAGGAGGGGUACUGAAAAUCUUGAAGAUGACCCAACUACCAUCACUGAGGAAAACUGAUUGUGUUCACCACAUGGUGAUGGAUAACAGGCAAUUGAUUAUAUAUCAAAUAGCAAUUAAUAAAACUAUUAAUACCAUUAUUAUUAUUACACUGGUCAACAAGUAUUUUUCAUCAAGUGUAUGUCAAGGUGUACUUAGUGUAGUUUUCAAUGCUGAUUUCAAAUAUACAAUUAGUUUUUUGACAUCAUGUACAGUUUUCAAGAUGAGAAAGUUAUUUGGUUUUAGCUCUUGCAUUAUAUAAAAAUUCCAAUUAAUGAUGUGUAUGCAUGUAUUUCAGUUACAACAUGGAAAUAUACCUUUAAAAUAAACUACUUAUCCAUUGCUGCAUAGUUCAGAUGCAAUAUUUCAUCAUCUUAAAUUAACCAAUCAAGUUUUGUCUGAUGAAAUAGGUAUUUCAACACCUGAAAUUGUCCAGUCAGAAUUGGUCUGAUGAAAUAUUUCAUCAUCUCAAAUUCAAUAUAAGUAUAACCAUUUGUAUCUAUUUUCUUACUUGUUUUAUAGUGUUAAUGAUGUCAAGACAGUGUAGAAAUCGUCCUGAUGUGUUUUGUUAUGUCUGUGGACAAUCUAUUGUGAAAGCUCAAAAACAUACAAUAACACCAGAGAUCAAGAAGAUUUAUAAGCUAUACUCUGACUGUCCUCUUGGAGAUCAGGACAAGUUAUGGGUACCGCAUUUUAUCUGCUCAGCUGGCUCAAAUGAUUAUGUGACUGGUUCAAUAAGAAGUCCAUACCUUUUGCCAUUCCAAUGAUAUGGAGGGAGCCGAAAGGCCAUUUUAAUGACUGUUAUUUUUGCUAAAGUAAAUGUCACAGGAUUUUCUAUGAAGAAUAAACACAAAAUUGUAAUUCCAAUUUGGAUUCUGCAAUGAGACUGUGCCUCACAAUGAAAGUCUGCCAUUUCCAGUUCCACCAGAUGAUGGUAUUGAAACAUCAGAUGAUGAUGCAGACUGUCACUGAGGAAGAUUAUGUGGCUGAUGACGAUAGCUUUGAACCUCAGAAAUUUUCCCAAGCUGAACUGAAUGACCUUGUCAGAGACAUAUCUCUUACAAAAGAUAAAGCAGAACUGUUGGCACCAAGACUGAAGAAGUAUCUACUAGAGCACGGUGUUAGUAUAACUUAUUUUCAGCAGUAACAUCGAUGGACUUUUCGAAUGUUUAUCACAAAACCAUGAUCCUGCAGAGCGGCAUUUGUUUAUUGACUCUUCAAAACAAAGUUUAAAAGCUGUACCUCUACAUAAUGGUAAUUUGAAGCUCUCCGGUCAUCUUCAUGCUAUUGCCCAUGAAAGAUACUCAUGGAAAAUAUGUGGAGAUUUAAAAGUCAUAGAUUACAUUAAGGGGAAUGCAGUUAGGUUUCACAAAAUACUGUUGUGUUUAUGGGAUAAUCGGGCAACUGACAGACAAGAACAUCACAAGAACGUCAGCGCGCAUUUUUUUUUUUUUUCAUAUUCGUUUUCCACAUACUUGUUAACACCCCACAGGCUGGUUAAUUUUUUUUUUUUUUUUGUUCCCGGGUGAGGAUCUUUAUAUUGACCGAAAUUUGUCGGUGCAGAUACAACUUCAUGUUAAUUAUAGAUUUCUGUUUUUCCCCUCUUUGGGGUGUGGGGGUUGAUGAACGUAAUAUGAAGGAUCGCUUCGAAUAUAAAACUGGUGCGACUGUCUUCCUCAGAUAAACAAAAAAAAUCAACAUUUUGAGUUUCGAAAAAUAAUUUAUUAUUAUUAUUAUUACACUGGUCAACAAGUAUUUUUCAUCAAGUGUAUGUUAAGGUGUACUUAGUGUUUUUCUUUCUCACUUUUUAUGUGAAGAAUAUAUAACGAACACAUAGAAAACACCAACAUUAUUUUAGUUAUAAUUUCAGUUAAGGCUGCAAAAGCUAU
rnacentral:lncRNA from 1 species